GUAGUUAGCCGUGGCUUCCUCCUUAGGUACCGUCAUCUACUCGUCCCCUACAACAGAGGUUUACGAUCCGAAAACCUUCUUCCCUCACGCGGCGUUGCUGGGUCAGGCUUUCGCCCAUUGCCCAAUAUUCCCCACUGCUGCCUCCCGUAGGAGUCUGGACCGUUUCUCAGUUCCAAUGUGGCCGGUCAUCCUCUCAGAUCGGCUACCCAUCGUUGACUUGGUGGGCCGUUACCUCACCAACUAUCUAAUGGGACGCGAGCUCACCCUUCCGCGGAUUCCUCCUUUGACCCCUUCGGCAUGCGCCUUCGUGGUCUUAUGCGGUAUUAGCAACUGUUUCCAGUUGUUAUCCCCCUCGGAAGGACAGAUUGCUCACGCGUUACGCACCCGUCCGCCACUAGGCUACCUUCUGAUUGCUCUUCCAAUAGCCCCGUUCGACUUGCAUGUGUUAAGCACGCCGCCAGCGUUCGUCCUGAGCCAGAAUCAAACUCUGA
rnacentral:rRNA from 1 species